rnacentral:rRNA from 1 species
AUUGAACGCUGGCGGCAGGCUUAACACAUGCAAGUCGAACGAGUGGCGGACGGGUGAGUAAUGCUUGGGAAUCUAGCUUAUGGCGGGGGAUAACUACGGGAAACUGUAGCUAAUACCGCGUACCAUAGGAUGAGCCCAAGUGGGAUUAGGUAGUUGGUGAGGUAAAGGCUCACCAAGCCACCGAUCUCUAGCGGGUCUGAGAGGAUGACGGGCCACCCUGGGCCUGAGAAACGGCCCAGACUCUAACGGGAGCAAGCAGGGGGAAAUAUCGCGCAAUGGGGGAAAGCCUGCUGCAGCCAGGCCGGGUGUAUGAGGAAGUCCUUCGGGUUGAAAAGUACUUUCAGCGAGGAGGCGUUACUCGCAGAAGAAGCACCGGCUAACUCCGUGCCAGCAGCCGCGGUAAUAC